AAACUGAAGAGUUUGAUCCUGGCUCAGAUUGAACGCUGGCGGAAUGCUUUACACAUGCAAGUCGAGCGGCAGCACGGGGGUAACCCUGGUGGCGAGCGGCGAACGGGUGAGUAAUACAUCGGAACAUGCCCAGUCGUGGGGGAUAACACUUCGAAAGAAGUGCUAAUACCGCAUACGUCCUGAGGGAGAAAGCGGGGGAUCGCAAGACCUCGCGCGAUUGGAGUGGCCGAUGUCAGAUUAGCU
rnacentral:ncRNA from 1 species